UGCAGAUUCUUUCUUUUGUUUUUUCUUUUCUUUGGAUAGACAAAUAAAUUCAUUAACCAAAAAGGAACAGGUGGCUAACACUUGUAAAGAAUAAGCAUUAAGAUAAAGGUAACAGCGAUAAUAAGCUAAAUACAACUGAUGCAAAAAACCUUAAUAUAGUAAAGUAAAGAUUUAAGAAGACUAAGGAAACUAACAAGCAAUCCUCACAAUCCCUUUAAGCAACAUUCUGAGCAAAGCUGUAACAGCAACAACAUAACCACUCAAAAAGAGCCCAGAAAUCAAACCCAUCUCCAUACACCAUCUUUAAGCAAAGCUGCAACAGCAACAAUAUACGCACUCAAAAAGAGACCAGGUAUGCUUACGAACUCAUUUGAAUCUCCAGCAGACCCAAAAGCUGAAUUCAAUCUAGAUAUGGAAUUUAUUGAGAAAAGUGUUGAAUAUUAAACUCAAUCUAGAUGGUCAAGGAAGGCAACCACCAGCUGCCACUGACCAGCCGCCACCGACCAGCCGCCAGCCACCAGCCGCAACCGCCAGCCGCCUUCACACCACCGUCCACAGCCGCCUUCACACUUGAAGGUUGAAUUUUCUUGUUUUGAAUUCGUGUAUAAAUAGCAAGCUGAGCUUAUGCUAUUAUGUGUGGGAGAGUAGAGAGAAUAGAGAGACACUAGAGAGAAAGAGAGGGUGUGUAUUUGUAAGUUCUUUUUGUGUUUGUUAAGCUUGUGUUCUUGUAAUAAAACUUUGUGUUUUAUCCC